rnacentral:lncRNA from 1 species
GAGAGCUAAGGAAUCAAAUUCUGCAAAACUGCAGAUUUUCAGCUCUCGGGGACCGGUCCCUGGUGGGAGAGACCGGUCCCCGAACGCGUAUGAAAUGAGACAGCCGAAAAAUCGGCUAAGUCCGGAGAAAUCAGCUCUCGGGAACCGGUCCCUACCCGAGAGACCGGUCCCCGAGAGACCGGUCCCACAAAGAGAGACCGAUUGCACUGCGCGCAGCAGCUCUGGCUGCGCUGGGACGACGUUCGGGAACCGGUCCCUGAAGGAGAGACCGGUCCCUGCCUGCGCGAUCAGCCCAGUCCAGGCAGUGCACAGAGGUAAAAGUUGAGGGGUUUAGUUGCAAUUUUGCAACCCAAUAGGCUAAGUAAGAGGGCAAAUGAGAUAUUUCUCUCAUUUCCUCACCCUCUCACGCUCUCUUCUCUCCCUCUCUCUCUCUAGAAAGCAAAGGAGAAGAAGAAGAAAGGAAGAAAGGAGGAAAAGAAGGAAAAGAAGGUGAAGAAGAAGAUCAAGUAGCAAGCUUACCUCUUCUCCUUCCUCCUUGGAGCAACUUUGGGAAAGCUUUGAGGUAAGCUUUGAUCCCAAGUAUAGUAAAACCCUAGAAUGAGUUUUGAAUGACCUAGAAAUGGGUUUUAAUGGAAUGUUUAAAGAGUUUUGAAGCUUUCUUUUGCUUCUUUGGAGAUCAAAACCUUGGUU